CAAGCUCUCGAAAUCAAGUGUUCGAAUGGAGGUUGUCCAUGGUGUGUUCAUUUUAUUUAUGAUGAGUAUUACAUGGCCAAUCUCCUUUCGGCACUAAAAUCUUCCUGGGAGAGC
rnacentral:pre_miRNA from 14 species